rnacentral:tRNA from 1 species
GAGGGUGUAGCUCAGUGGUAGAGUGCAUGGUUAGCAUGCACAAGGUCCUGAGUUCAAUUCCCAGUACCUCCA